rfam:Valsa mali var. pyri strain SXYL134 unplaced genomic scaffold scaffold00057, whole genome shotgun sequence.
GGUCUGUUGGCCCAAUGGCAAGGCGUCUGACUACGAAUCAGGAGAUUGCAGGUUCGACCCCUGCACAGAUCA